rnacentral:rRNA from 1 species
UACCAGCACCCCGAGUGGUCGGGACGUUUAUUGGGCGUAAAGCGCGUGUAGGCGGCUUUGCAAGUCGGAUGUGAAAGCCCUCGGCUCAACCGAGGAAGUGCGUUCGAAACUGCAGAGCUUGAGUGCCGGAGAGGGUGGCGGAAUUCCCCAAGUAGAGGUGAAAUUCGUAGAUAUGGGGAGGAACACCGGUGGCGAAGGCGGCCACCUGGACGGUCACUGAGGCUGAGACGCGAAAGCGUGGGUAGCAAACAGG